rnacentral:lncRNA from 1 species
GGAGUCUUUAAUUACCAUUAAAGAAAUUAAGAGUGAAUAUAAAAUUUAAAGGUUGUAUAAAUGUUUACAACAGUCGAAAAGUACUAGUAAAAAGAGGCUUGACAGUGUAUAUGGUACUUAAGUAUUAUUCAAUAUUGUAAAAACAUGGAACAUGACAAAAACUGUCAUAACGUUACAUGUAUCAAUAUUUGACAGUUAUAAGAAGUAUUUUGUUCUUUUAACUUGUGUCUUGUAUACUUUUAUUUGUCUGUAUGCCUUUUUAUUUGUUAGCCAUGGUGUUGUCAGUUUAAUGUCUUUUUAUGAGUUUGACUGUCCCUCUGGUAUCUUUCGCCCCUCUUUUGUCACAUAUACUUCCAUGACUUCUAGUCUCGGACUUACUGAUUUCCAGUUACUUUUUGUGGUCAUUUACUAUUAUCCACUGGUUUUAUAAUGGUUAACCACCAUUACUUAAAAUCAAUACUUAGUAUUCAUGAUCGAUUGCAGUGACCGCAGGGGAAUCCUCUAUGAUAAUCCAUAGUAAUCAUGAUCGCUUAAAGUGAUCACGGAGGAUCCUGUAUAAUCAUCCUGCGGCAACAGCAGAUAUUUCUAUGCAUGUAUGUGCAUGUGUGAACCUCUUGCAACAAAUUGUUUACAGUGUUUACUACAUUUACAGUUUCAUCGUAAAAUGGGACUAAGCUUAGUCUUUUUUUGUUCUGUUGAUAUGAUCUCCAUAUAUAAAAAAAGAAGAUGUGGUAUGAUUGCCAAUGAGACAACUGUUCACAAGAGACCAAAAUGACACAGACAUGAACAACUAUAGGUCACCGUACGGCCUUCAACAAUGAACAAAGCCCAUACCGCAUAGUCAGCUAUAAAAGGCGCCGAUAUGACAAUGUAAAACAAUUUAAACGAGAAAACUAAUGGCCUUAUUUGUAUAAAAAAUUAACGAAGAACAAAUAUGUAACACAAAAACAAACGACAACCACUGAAUUACAGGCUCCUGACUUGGGACAGGCACACACAUGAAUAAUGUGGCGGGGUUAAACAUGUUAGCAGGAUCCCAACCCUCCCCCUAACCUGGGACAGUAGUAUAACAGUACAACAUAAGAACGAACUAUAAAAAUCAGUUGAAAAAGGCUUAACUCAUCAGAUGGACAAAAUACAAGUGGACGUGACCGAGAACUUGUAAAUCCCGACAACAAAAAGACACUAGGAACUUGUAAUGAUCCCUCCCAUACAGUCAUUCAUAUCUUGAUACUUUUUUGAUAUCGUGUUCUUGUUGUGUUCAU